UACGGAGGGUGCAAGCGUUAUCCGGAUUUACUGGGUUUAAAGGGUGCGUAGGUGGGCAGUUAAGUCAGUGGUGAAAUCUCCGAGCUUAACUCGGAAACUGCCAUUGAUACUAUCUGUCUUGAAUAUCCUGGAGGUGAGCGGAAUAUGUCAUGUAGCGGUGAAAUGCUUAGAUAUGACACAGAACACCGAUCGCGAAGGCAGCUAACGAAGCUAUUAUUGACGCUCAGGCACGACAGCAUGGGGAGCAAACAGG
rnacentral:rRNA from 1 species